AAAAAAUGGAAACACCGCAGCCGAGCGAAGAGCCAGAGUGUGGAAAGGCGGUGCCGGCAACGCCAGUAUUUAUAACCUAGAACGACCUACAUAGCUUUUAAUUUAUCGUCAUCUUUUUAAAAUGUCUUCGCACUAGUGAUUAGAAACCAGGAGUCCUCGUAUGCUAACGCCUUGCAACUCAGACUCAACAACACAAAUGAAAUCUGUAUUAACACAACCCUCCAAAAUUAAGAUAUUUGAUAUUAA